ACUUUUUAUUAUUGAUCUCUAAUAUUUUAGGUACAAAUGCAACUUUUACGUGGCCUCCUGGGAAAACGACGCUGUGGAUUUGGGCUCAUAUUAGUCGAGGGCCAAUUAAUCAGUUGCACCUAGAUGGUGUUCAGUAUUUAACACCCCAAAUGCAUCAAGAAUUGAUCCCUAUUGUUAGGCAAAAUUUGAAAAUCGUAAUGGAAAAUGCCGGAAAAGUGCUGUUCGACCAUCUUGUUCAAAUCCAGAUUACGCGUGAAGUGGAAUAGGAAUAAUAUGACAUCUACGAUUUGGAAAUUACAUGUUUUUAUCUUUCAUUUUAUCUUAAAAGAUUUAAUUGUGACCUAUCUUAAGUGAUUUUAUUAUAU